CUUGAGAUGAGGUCUGAGACAUGGAGAGGAUGUGCUGAGACUCAAUCAUGGGCUAUGAGUCUAGUAGUUCUUUGAAAUCAACUGAGGAAGGAAUCAGCACUACUGAUAUUGACAGCUGCAGUUUAUACAAGAGAGCACCUAUGAACAGAGUUGGGUUAUGAGAGCUAAGACAGGGAGAGGAUGCAGCAAGUUAUGAUGUCGGACCUCGGGAUCUCAAGUGACAUCUACACAUCAACAAGUGGAUGUCUAAGACCAGCCUCUGAUGCAAGAGCUUCACACUCCAGUAAAAGUGAGGCUUUAAGAUCUCCAAUAAAGCCAUUUACCAGUCGAUGAGUAGAUGUCCAAGACCAGCCAGUGAUAAAGGAGUUGCCCUCUCCAGUAAAAGGACCUGAGAUGUAGCUAAUACUGUCCUGAAAUCAAGUGCGGAGAGAAGCUUGUCUUCUGACAUCUUAAGAGCUGCAGGGUAGAGGAGAGCAAAGCUGAUGAAAUCAUGACAUCCUGGCAGUUCAUCUUUGGAUCACGAAUGAACAACCAAGCAUCAUCAAUAGUAAGACGAGUUAGUUUUGUAAUCGCCAUUAGUUAGCUGUUUUUGUAGAACUGUAACAGUUAGUAUCUGUAAAUAAAUACACCAUUGCAAGCAAGCAUGCACAUACGCGAUUUUUGCGCGACGAAAUUGGAGAUCUUUGGGCCUUGGUGAUACAGCUACUCGACUGGAGGUGUGACGAUUAAAAUUGGA